GAUGAACGCUGGCGGCGUGCUUAACACAUGCAAGUCGAACGGAACUACUCCAAUGAGAGUCUUCGGAAAGGAUUUGGUUUAGUUUAGUGGCGGACGGGUGAGUAACGCGUGGGUAACCUGCCCUAUACAGGGGGAUAACAGUUGGAAACGACUGUUAAUACCGCAUAAGCGCACAGGAGCGCAUGCUCCGGUGUGAAAAACUCCGGUGGUAUAGGAUGGACCCGCGUCUGAUUAGCUGGUUGGCGGGGUAACGGCCCACCAAGGCGACGAUCAGUAGCCGGCAUGAGAGGGUGAACGGCCAAAUUGGGACUGAGACACGGCCCAAACUCCUACGGGAGGCAGCAGUGGGGAAUAUUGCACAAUGGGGGAAACCCUGAUGCAGCGACGCCGCGUGAGCGAAGAAGUAUCUCGGUAUGUAAAGCUCUAUCAGCAGGGAAGAAAAUGACGGUACCUGACUAAGAAGCCCCGGCUAACUACGUG
rnacentral:rRNA from 1 species